rnacentral:rRNA from 1 species
GACGAACGCUGGCGGCGUGCUUAACACAUGCGAGUCGAACGGAAAGGCCCUGCUUUUGUGGGGUGCUCGAGUGGCGAACGGGUGAGUAACACGUGAGUAACCUGCCCUUGACUUUGGGAUAACUUCAGGAAACUGGGGCUAUUACCGGUUAGGAGCUCCUGUUGCAUGGUGGGGGUUGGAAAGUUUCGGCGGUUGGGGAUGGACUCGCGGCUUAUCAGCUUGUUGGUGGGGUAGUGGCUUACCAAGGCUUUGACGGGUAGCCGGCCUGAGAGGGUGACCGGCCACAUUGGGACUGAGGUACGGCCCAGACGCCUACGGGAGGCAGCAGUGGGGAAUAUUGCACAAUGGGCGGAAGCCUGAUGAAGCAACGCCGCGUGCGGGAUGACGGCUUUCGGGUUGUAAACCGCUUUCGCCUGUGACGAAGCGUGAGUGACGGUAAUGGGUAAAGAAGCACCGGCUAACUACGUG